rnacentral:snoRNA from 1 species
CCUAGCUGCAGGCAACUUCCUAGGUCACCUUUUACCUAGGCAAGUGUUACACUGCUAAGAGAAAGGCAGCCAGUAGCUGGUAGGCAUU